GUGCUCGCUUCGGCAGCACAUACUAAAAUUGGAACAAUACAGAGAAGAUUAGCAUGGUUCCUGCACAAGAAUGACACGCAAAUUCAUGAAGCGUUCCAUAUUUUU
rnacentral:snRNA from 1 species